GGAAAAUUUUGAUACGAAAAAGUAUCAUUAAUUAAAAUGAAACUCCACACUACGUUAUUGGUCGUACUUGCUAUUUUCGUACAUGAUAGCCUACAGCAAAAUUGCUGUCAAGGAGGAGGAUCCCGUGCCGAUGCUGAUAUAUUGUUCCAGCUUUACAAAAUUUUGUUUUUCGUAACAUCAGAGGCACCGACAACAGCUGCACCUAGGACAACACCAGCUUAUCCGUAUUGGACGACAACAGUUGCACCUGGCGGAUGGUAUCCUCCCGCAGCAUAAUAAUUAUCUGUAAUAAUCUUGGAUCUGAAUUAAAAAUAAUUCCUACUGAAA